CCUACGGGGGGCUGCAGUGGGGAAUAUUGGACAAUGGGGGGAACCCUGAUCCAGCCAUGCCGCGUGUGUGAAGAAGGCCCUCGGGUUGUAAAGCACUUUCAGUGAGGAAGAACGCCUGGUGGUUAAUACACAUCAGGAAAGACAUCACUCACAGAAGAAGCACCGGCUAACUCCGUGCCAGCAGCCGCGGUAAUACGGAGGGUGCGAGCGUUAAUCGGAAUUACUGGGCGUAAAGCGCGCGUAGGUGGCUUGAUAAGCCGGUUGUGAAAGCCCCGGGCUCAACCUGGGAACGGCAUCCGGAACUGUCAAGCUAGAGUGCAGGAGAGGAAGGUAGAAUUCCCGGUGUAGCGGUGAAAUGCGUAGAGAUCGGGAGGAAUACCAGUGGCGAAGGCGGCCUUCUGGACUGACACUGACACUGAGGUGCGAAAGCGUGGGUAGCAAACAGGAUUAGAUACCCUAGUAGUC
rnacentral:rRNA from 1 species